rnacentral:rRNA from 1 species
UACCCGCAGCACAAGUGGUGGUCAUUAUUAUUGGGCCUAAAGCGUCCGUAGCUGGCCUGUUAGAUGCCUGGGUAAAUCGAUGCGCUCAACGUAUCGAACUCCGGGUAGACCGGCAGGCUUGGGACCGGGAGAGGCGUGAGCUACUCGAGGGGUAGGGUAAAAUCCUGUAAUCCUUCGGGGAGGACCAGUGGCGAAGGCGUCACGCUAGAACGGCUCCGACAGUGAGGACGAAGGCCCUGGGCGGCAAACCGG